rnacentral:rRNA from 1 species
AUAGUUAAGUGGGAAACGAGGUGGGAAGGCAUAGACAGCUAGGAGGUUGGCUUAGAAGCAGCCACCCUUUAAAGAAAGCGUAAUAGCUCACUAGUCGAGUCGUCCUGCGCGGAAGAUGUAACGGGGCUCAAGCCAUGAACCGAAGCUGCGGAUGCAUUUUAUGCAUGGUAGGGGAGCGUUCUGUAAGUCUGUGAAGGUGUCUUGUAAAGGAUGCUGGAGAUAUCAGAAGUGCGAAUGCUGACAUGAGUAGCGAUAAAGGGUGUGAAAAGCACCCUCGCCGAAAGCCCAAGGUUUCCUACGCAACGUUCAUCGGCGCAGGGUGAGUCGGCCCCUAAGNNNNNNNNNNACCCUGCUUCCAGGAAAAGCCACUAAGCUUCAGUCUAGAAUUGACCGUACCGCAAACCGACACAGGUGGGCAGGAUGAAAAUUCUAAGGCGCUUGAGAGAACUCAGGAGAAGGAACUCGGCAAAUUGACACCGUAACUUCGGGAGAAGGUGUGCCCCGGUAGGUUGUAGGAGUACAUCCGAAGGGCGAAGAGGCCGCAGAGAAUCGGUGGCUGCGACUGUUUAUUAAAAACACAG